GAGGAAUAUUGGUCAAUGGUCGGAAGACUGAACCAGCCAUGCCGCGUGCAGGAAGAAUGCCUUAUGGGUUGUAAACUGCUUUUAUAUGGGAAGAAUAAGGUGUACGUGUACAUUGAUGACGGUACCAUAUGAAUAAGCAUCGGCUAACUCCGUGCCAGCAGCCGCGGUAAUACGGAGGAUGCGAGCGUUAUUCGGAAUCAUUGGGUUUAAAGGGUCUGUAGGCGGGCUAUUAAGUCAGGGGUGAAAGGUUUCAGCUUAACUGAGAAAUUGCCUUUGAUACUGGUAGUCUUGAAUAUCUGUGAAGUUCUUGGAAUGUGUAGUGUAGCGGUGAAAUGCUUAGAUAUUACACAGAACACCGAUUGCGGAGGCAGGGGACUAACAGACGAUUGACGCUGAGAGACGAAAGCGUGGGGAGCGAACAGGAUUAGAUACCCUGGUAGUCCACGCUGUAAACGAUGGAUACUAGCUGUUUGGAGAAAUUUGAGUGGCUAAGCGAAAGUGAUAAGUAUCCCACCUGGGGAGUACGCACGCAAGUGUG
rnacentral:rRNA from 1 species